rnacentral:rRNA from 1 species
GAUGAACGCUGGCGGCGUGCCUAAUACAUGCAAGUCGAGCGAACGGACGAGAAGCUUGCUUCUCUGAUGUUAGCGGCGGACGGGUGAGUAACACGUGUAUAACCUACCUAUAAGACUGGGAUAACUUCGGGAAACCGGAGCUAAUACCGGAUAAUAUUUUGAACCGCAUGGUUCAAAAGUGAAAGACGGUCUUGCUGUCACUUAUAGAUGGAUCCGCGCUGCAUUAGCUAGUUGGUAAGGUAACGGCUUACCAAGGCAACGAUGCAUAGCCGACCUGAGAGGGUGAUCGGCCACACUGGAACUGAGACACGGUCCAGACUCCUACGGGAGGCAGCAGUAGGGAAUCUUCCGCAAUGGGCGAAAGCCUGACGGAGCAACGCCGCGUGAGUGAUGAAGGUCUUCGGAUCGUAAAACUCUGUUAUUAGGGAAGAACAUAUGUGUAAGUAACUGUGCACAUCUUGACGGUACCUAAUCAGAAAGCCACGGCUAACUACGUGCCAGCAGCCGCGGUAAUACGUAGGUGGCAAGCGUUAUCCGGAAUUAUUGGGCGUAAAGCGCGCGUAGGCGGUUUUUUAAGUCUGAUGUGAAAGCCCACGGCUCAACCGUGGAGGGUCAUUGGAAACUGGAAAACUUGAGUGCAGAAGAGGAAAGUGGAAUUCCAUGUGUAGCGGUGAAAUGCGCAGAGAUAUGGAGGAACACCAGUGGCGAAGGCGACUUUCUGGUCUGUAACUGACGCUGAUGUGCGAAAGCGUGGGGAUCAAACAGGAUUAGAUACCCUGGUAGUCCACGCCGUAAACGAUGAGUGCUAAGUGUUAGGGGGUUUCCGCCCCUUAGUGCUGCAGCUAACGUAUUAAGCACUCCGCCUGGGGAGUACGACCGCAAGGUUGAAACUCAAAGGAAUUGACGGGGACCCGCACAAGCGGUGGAGCAUGUGGUUUAAUUCGAAGCAACGCGAAGAACCUUACCAAAUCUUGACAUCCUUUGACAACUCUAGAGAUAGAGCUUUCCCCUUCGGGGGACAAAGUGACAGGUGGUGCAUGGUUGUCGUCAGCUCGUGUCGUGAGAUGUUGGGUUAAGUCCCGCAACGAGCGCAACCCUUAAGCUUAGUUGCCAUCAUUAAGUUGGGCACUCUAAGUUGACUGCCGGUGACAAACCGGAGGAAGGUGGGGAUGACGUCAAAUCAUCAUGCCCCUUAUGAUUUGGGCUACACACGUGCUACAAUGGACAAUACAAAGGGCAGCGAAACCGCGAGGUCAAGCAAAUCCCAUAAAGUUGUUCUCAGUUCGGAUUGUAGUCUGCAACUCGACUACAUGAAGCUGGAAUCGCUAGUAAUCGUAGAUCAGCAUGCUACGGUGAAUACGUUCCCGGGUCU